AACGAACGCUGGCGGCAUGCCUAACACAUGCAAGUCGAACGAGACCUUCGGGUCUAGUGGCGCACGGGUGCGUAACGCGUGGGAAUUUGCCCUUAGGUUCGGAAUAACUCCCCGUAAGGGGUGCUAAUACCGGAUAAUGUCUUCGGACCAAAGAUUUAUCGCCUUUGGAUGGGCCCGCGUUGGUUUAGCUAGUUGGUAGGGUAAAAGCCUACCAAGGCGACGAUCCAUAGCUGGUCUGAGAGGAUGACCAGCCACACUGGGACUGAGACACGGCCCAGACUCCUACGGGAGGCAGCAGUGGAGAAUAUUGGAGAAUGGGCGAAAGCCUGAUCCAGCAAUGCCGCGUGAGUGAUGAAGGCCUUAGGGUUGUAAAGCUCUUUUACCCGGGAUGAUAAUGACGGUACCGGGAGAAUAAGCUCCGGCUAACUCCGUG
rnacentral:rRNA from 1 species